GCUGUCGGGAGUUAGGAAGUGCAAGGAUGUUAAUAGCGUUCUUGCUUGACUAAGGCUCCGGAGGAAGCCACGGCUAACUCUGUGCCAGCAGCCGCGGUAAUACAGAGGCGGCAAGCGUUGUUCGGAAUUAUUGGGCGUAAAGAGCACGUAGGCGGCUGUGUAAGUCGGUUGUGAAAGCCUUCCGCUUAACGGAAGAACGGCAUCCGAUACUGCAUAGCUUGAGUGCGGGAGGGGAGAGUGGAACUUCUGGUGGAGCGGUGAAAUGCGUAGAUAUCAGAAGGGACACCGGCGGCGAAGGCGACUCUCUGGUCCGUAACUGACGCUGAGUGCGCGAAAGCUAGGGGAGCAAACGGGAUUAGAUGCCCCGGUAGUCCUAGCCGUAAACGAUGGGCACUCAGUAGAGGGA
rnacentral:rRNA from 1 species